rnacentral:rRNA from 1 species
GAUGAACGCUAGCGGCAGGCCUAACACAUGCAAGUCGAGGGGCAGCACAGAAACAGCAAUGUUUUGGUGGCGACCGGCGGACGGGUGCGUAACGCGUAUGCAACCUACCUUUAACAGGGGAAUAACGGAGAGAAAUUUCCACUAAUACCCCAUAACAUCGAUCAAGGCAUCUUGAUUGGUUGAAGACUCCGGUGGUUAAAGAUGGGCAUGCGUUGUAUUAGGUAGUUGGUGAGGUAAUGGCUCACCAAGCCUACGAUACAUAGGGGGACUGAGAGGUUAGCCCCCCACACUGGUACUGAGACACGGACCAGACUCCUACGGGAGGCAGCAGUGAGGAAUAUUGGUCAAUGGGGGCAACCCUGAACCAGCCAUGCCGCGUGCAGGAAGACGGCUCUAUGAGUUGUAAACUGCUCUUAAACAGGGAUAAAGCACAGUAUGUAUACUGUGUUGAAGGUACUGUAAGAAUAAGGAUCGGCUAACUCCGUGCCAGCCGCCGCAGUAA